AAGCCAGCCAAUUAAUUGAGUUAUCUGAAUGUCUUUCUACAUAAAUUUAGAAAAAGUUGGCAAAAGUGAUGCCAUAUUAUAAACCUCAAGAUCCACUGAGGUCAUUAAGGUCUCUGAAAAUGGCUACACUA
ensembl:snoRNA